CUUGUCAGUCAUAGUCUCCUAAUAAUCCCCAUCCACUAAAUUGGCUCUGUCGCUAAGCAGGGUUGAGCCUGGUCAGUACCUGGAUGGGAGACCUCCUGGGAAAACUAGGUUGCUGCUGGAA
rnacentral:rRNA from 1 species